rnacentral:tRNA from 2 species
GGGCGGUUAGCUCAGGGGUAGAGCAUCGCACUCACACUGCGAGGGUCGGAGGUUCGAAGCCUCCACCGCCCACCA